UACAGAGACUGCAAGCGUUAUUCGGAUUCACUGGGCGUAAAGGGUGCGCAGGCGGCCGAGUGUGUGAGGCGUGAAAGCCCGGGGCUUAACCCCGGAAUUGCACCUCAAACUACACGGCUAGAGCAUUGGAGAGGGUAGCAGAAUUCAUGGUGUAGCAGUGAAAUGCGUAGAUAUCGGGAGGAACACCAGUGGCGAAGGCGGCUACCUGGCCCACUCUUGACGCUGAGGCGCGAAAGCUAGGGGAGCAAACGGG
rnacentral:rRNA from 1 species